UGGACCCGGCGCCUUGCCCCCAGAUCUGCAUCGGAAUGCAGAAAAGAUCUUUAAAAAAAAAAAAAAAGUUUUGAAUUCCUCAAUGAUUUUUCUUCUGGAAAGGCAGCUUAGGAUAAUUAUUUCAGCUUUAUUGAGGGCAGAUUAGUUGAAGUCUGGGCGCUGCGUUUCAAUACGCGUUGUACACGGGCCGACAAUGUGG
rnacentral:lncRNA from 1 species